rnacentral:snoRNA from 1 species
GAUCCUGGUGAUGACAGAUGACAUUGUCAGCCAAUCCCGAUGGGGGACGUGAGGACAUGUCCUGCAAUUCUGAGGAGAUU